UAUGGCCGGACCAACUAUUUGCCAUAGCUUUUUUGUCUCAACCAAAAUUCUAUCCUUCAAUCCUUCACCGUCUUCCUCCGCCGUGUGA
rnacentral:sRNA from 1 species